UUCUAAUAUGGCAGACUAGUGCAAUGGACUUAAGUCCCAUAUAUAAAGUUAUACUUUUUUUAGAAGUA
rnacentral:tRNA from 1 species